rnacentral:rRNA from 1 species
UACAGAGGGUGCAAGCGUUAAUCGGAAUUACUGGGCGUAAAGGGUGCGUAGGUGGUGCUAUAAGUCAGGUGUGAAAUCCCCGAGUUUAACUUGGGAAUUGCGCUUGAUACUGUAGUGCUAGAGUGUUGUAGAGGAAAGUGGAAUUUCCGGUGUAGCGGUGAAAUGCGUAGAUAUCGGAAGGAACACCAGUGGCGAAGGCGGCUUUCUGGACAAACACUGACACUGAGGCACGAAAGCGUGGGUAGCAAACAGGG